rnacentral:lncRNA from 1 species
GUAUCAAUUAAUCAUCAAUAAGAGCAGGACUCAUAGAAUUUCGAAUAAUACUAAUUUUAGAAAAGCACUAUAAGAUACAAAAGUAUAUGUUUAAACAAAAUCAUGUAUGUUUAAAUAAAUGCAUGAAAUUAAAUAGCCCAAAGUUUAAUUAUUAGAUACUAUUUGCAAACCAUCAAUGUCUCUAUCAAUCUCAAAGUGAUCAAUUGUUUUGCAAAACACACUUUCAAGCAUUUCAGGAGUGAUUUUCUUUGAACUGCUUCUAUAAGCAGUUCAGAACAAAUUGCUUGCAAAUGCAUUGGUUAUGAGUAUCAGAUUUCUAAUUUUUCUGCAAUAUAUCUUAGAUUUAAUAAAAUCCCAAGCAAAAAAUCUAAGAUAAAUCAAGCAAUUUAAAUGAAUUGAAAUGUGCAUUUUGUUUUAGUAUGCAAAUGCUUUUUUCUUAAUGUUUUUUUUUUUUAAAGGCCUAUUAUUUCUCAAAAUAGAUGGCGGUUUUUGGGACAUCCUAUAUAAUGCCAAUAUUAUACAUUGAGACUGAUAUUAUUAGAUAUUUAUUUGUAGCGCUAACAAGGGAACAUCACACCCGAUGUGUCUGGGAUUUUGCCGAUGUUUUGUCAUCUGAAAAAUCACCCCUAUAUGGGGGCCAAUGCUCUAGCGUUUUCGAGAAAAUUGCUUUUGAAGUUUCGAGAAUUUUUUGUUUUAAAUAGUGAACGCUUGGACAUUCGACUACAGGUUGUUGUGGC